UACGUAGGGUGCAGGCGUUAAUCGGAAUUACUGGGCGUAAAGCGUGCGCAGGCGGUCUCUUAAGACAGGCGUGAAAUCCCCGGGCUUAACCUGGGAACUGCGCUUGUAACUGAGAGGCUAGAGUAUGGCAGAGGGGGGUAGAAUUCCAAGUGUAGCAGUGAAAUGCGUAGAGAUGUGGAGGAAUACCGAUGGCGAAGGCAGCCCCCUGGGCCAAUACUGACGCUCAUGCACGAAAGCGUGGGGAGCAAACAGG
rnacentral:rRNA from 1 species